GUGCCAGCCGCCGCGGUAAUACGUAGGGUGCAAGCGUUAAUCGGAAUUACUGGGCGUAAAGCGUGCGCAGGCGGUUUUGUAAGUCUGUCGUGAAAGCCCCGGGCUCAACCUGGGAAUUGCGAUGGAGACUGCAAGGCUUGAAUCUGGCAGAGGGGGGUAGAAUUCCACGUGUAGCAGUGAAAUGCGUAGAGAUGUGGAGGAACACCGAUGGCGAAGGCAGCCCCCUGGGUCAAGAUUGACGCUCAUGCACGAAAGCGUGGGGAGCAAACAGGAUUAGAUAC
rnacentral:rRNA from 1 species